GGGGGGCCCCGCGGUUGCAACUCCCACAAACCAUCGCGAAUCUUACCCGUACGGUUGCCUCGGCGCUGGCGGUCCGGAAAGGCCCUCGGGUCCUCCCGGAUCCUCGGGUCUCCCGCUCGCGGGAGGCUGCCCGCCGGAGUGCCGAAACUAAACUCUUGAUAUUUUAUGUCUCUCUGAGUAAACUUUUAAAUAAGUCAAAACUUUCAACAACGGAUCUCUUGGUUCUGGCAUCGAUGAAGAACGCAGCGAAAUGCGAUAAGUAAUGUGAAUUGCAGAAUUCAGUGAAUCAUCGAAUCUUUGAACGCACAUUGCGCUCGCCAGUAUUCUGGCGAGCAUGCCUGUUCGAGCGUCAUUUCAACCAUCAAGCUCUGCUUGCGUUGGGGAUCCGCGGCUGCCCGCGGUCCCUCAAAAUCAGUGGCGGGCUCGCUAGUCACACCGAGCGUAGUAACUCUACAUCGCUAUGGUCGUGCGGCGGGUUCUUGCCGUAAAACCCCCCAUUUCUAAGGUUGACCUCGGAUCAGGUAGGAAUACCCGCUGAACUUAAGCAUAUCAAAGGCGGGGAGGAAAUCAU
rnacentral:rRNA from 1 species